rnacentral:piRNA from 1 species
UGCUCAGUCCACUUAAUGACAAUUCCCAUUA